GAUGAACGCUGGCGGCGUGCCUAAUACAUGCAAGUCGAACGAGGUGCUUUUGUAGCAAUACGAGAGUAUCCUAGUGGCGAACGGGUGAGUAACGCGUUGGUGACCUACCCCAAAGUGUGGAAUAACAGUCCGAAAGGAUUGCUAAUACCGCAUGUGGUUAUCGGGCUUAGAAACUGAUAACUAAAGGAGCAAUUCGCUUUGGGAGGGACCUGCGUCCCAUCAGCUAGUUGGUGAGGUAACGGCUCACCAAGGCUACGAC
rnacentral:rRNA from 1 species